rnacentral:rRNA from 1 species
CGUGUGGUUCUAUUUUGUUGGUUAUGGGACCGCCGUAAUGAUUAAUAGGGACAGUCGGGGGCAUCAGUAUUCAAUUGUCAGAGGUGAAAUUCUUGGAUUUAUUGAAGACUAACUACUGCGAAAGCAUUUGCCAAGGAUGUUUUCAUUAAUCAGGAACGAAAGUUAGGGGAUCGAAGACGAUCAGAUACCGUCGUAGUCUUAACCAUAAACUAUGCCGACUAGGGAUCGGGCGAUGUUACUUUUUGACUCGCUCGGCACCUUACGAGAAAUCAAAGUUUGAGGGUUCCUGGGGGAGUAUGGUGGCAACGCUGAAACUUAAAGAAAUUGACGGAAGGGCACCACCAGGGGUGGAGCCUGCGGCUUAAUUUGACUCAACACGGGGAAACUCACCAGGUCCAGACACAAUGAGGAUUGACAGAUUGAGAGCUCUUUCUUGAUUUUGUGGGUGGUGGUGCAUGGCCGUUCUUAGUUGGUGGAGUGAUUUGUCUGCUUAAUUGCGAUAACGAACGAGACCUUAACCUGCUAAAUAGCCCGUGUUGCUUCUGCAGCACGCCGGCUUCUUAGAGGGACUAUCGGCUCAAGCCGAUGGAAGUUUGAGGCAAUAACAGGUCUGUGAUGCCCUUAGAUGUUCUGGGCCGCACGCGCGCGACACUGACAGGGCCAGCGAGUUCUCCCUUGUCCGAAAGGACCGGGUAAUCUUGUUAAACCCUGUCGUGC